rnacentral:rRNA from 1 species
GUUCCUGUCCAACGUUAAUCGGGGCAGGGUGAGUCGACCCCUAAGGCGAGGCCGAAAGGCGUAGUCGAUGGGAAACAGGUUAAUAUUCCUGUACUUGGUGUUACUGCGAAGGGGGGACGGAGAAGGCUAUGUUGGCCGGGCGACGGUUGUCCCGGUUUAAGCGUGUAGGCUGGUUUUCCAGGCAAAUCCGGAAAAUCAAGGCUGAGGCGUGAUGACGAGGCACUACGGUGCUGAAGCAACAAAUGCCCUGCUUCCAGGAAAAGCCUCUAAGCAUCAGGUAACAUCAAAUCGUACCCCAAACCGACACAGGUGGUCAGGUAGAGAAUACCAAGGCGCUUGAGAGAACUCGGGUGAAGGAACUAGGCAAAAUGGUGCCGUAACUUCGGGAGAAGGCACGCUGAUAUGUAGGUGAAGCGACUUGCUCGUGGAGCUGAAAUCAGUCGAAGAUACCAGCUGGCUGCAACUGUUUAUUAAAAACACAGCACUGUGCAAACACGAAAGUGGACGUAUACGGUGUGACGCCUGCCCGGUGCCGGAAGGUUAAUUGAUGGGGUUAGCGGUAACGCGAAGCUCUUGAUCGAAGCCCCGGUAAACGGCGGCCGUAACUAUAACGGUCCUAAGGUAGCGAAAUUCCUUGUCGGGUAAGUUCCGACCUGCACGAAUGGCGUAAUGAUGGCCAGGCUGUCUCCACCCGAGACUCAGUGAAAUUGAACUCGCUGUGAAGAUGCAGUGUACCCGCGGCAAGACGGAAAGACCCCGUGAACCUUUACUAUAGCUUGACACUGAACAUUGAGCCUUGAUGUGUAGGAUAGGUGGGAGGCUUUGAAGUGUGGACGCCAGUCUGCAUGGAGCCGACCUUGAAAUACCACCCUUUAAUGUUUGAUGUUCUAACGUUGGCCCCUGAUCGGGGUUGCGGACAGUGUCUGGUGGGUAGUUUGACUGGGGCGGUCUCCUCCUAAAGAGUAACGGAGGAGCACGAAGGUUGGCUAAUCCUGGUCGGACAUCAGGAGGUUAGUGCAAUGGCAUAAGCCAGCUUGACUGCGAGCGUGACGGCGCGAGCAGGUGCGAAAGCAGGUCAUAGUGAUCCGGUGGUUCUGAAUGGAAGGGCCAUCGCUCAACGGAUAAAAGGUACUCCGGGGAUAACAGGCUGAUACCGCCCAAGAGUUCAUAUCGACGGCGGUGUUUGGCACCUCGAUGUCGGCUCAUCACAUCCUGGGGCUGAAGUAGGUCCCAAGGGUAUGGCUGUUCGCCAUUUAAAGUGGUACGCGAGCUGGGUUUAGAACGUCGUGAGACAGUUCGGUCCCUAUCUGCCGUGGGCGCUGGAGAACUGAGGGGGGCUGCUCCUAGUACGAGAGGACCGGAGUGGACGCAUCACUGGUGUUCGGGUUGUCAUGCCAAUGGCACUGCCCGGUAGCUAAAUGCGGAAGAGAUAAGUGCUGAAAGCAUCUAAGCACGAAACUUGCCCCGAGAUGAGUUCUCCCUGACUCCUUGAGAGUCCUGAAGGAACGUUGAAGACGACGACGUU